rnacentral:rRNA from 1 species
UGCCAGCCGCCGCGGUAAUACGGAGGGAGCUAGCGUUGUUCGGAAUUACUGGGCGUAAAGCGCGCGUAGGCGGCUUUGCAAGUAGAGGGUGAAAUCCCGGGGCUUAACCUCGGAAGGAUUUUUUAGUAAAAAGGAACUAGAGUUUGAGUUGAGAUAAUGGUACUUUUAGGGAAGCGGUGAAAUGUUAAGAUCCUAGAGGGAACACCAACAGCGAAAGCAAUUAUCUGGACCAAUACUGACGUUGACGAAUGCGAAAGCGUGGGGAGCAAACAGGAUUAGAUA